CCCUUAGAUGUUCUGGGCCGCACGCGCGCUACACUGAUGCAUUCAACGAGUCUAAAACCUGGUCUGAUAGGGCUGGGUAAUCUUUUGAAUGUGCAUCGUGAUUGGGAUAGAUGAUUGCAAUUCUUCAUCUUCAACGAGGAAUGCCUAGUAAACGCAAGUCAUCAGCUUGCAUUGAUUACGUCCCUGCCCUUUGUACACACCGCCCGUCGCUCCUACCGAUUUAAUGUUCCGAUGAAUACCAUGGACUGAGAGUAUGAAUGGGUUCGCCUAUUUCUGCUUCUCGGGAAGUGGAGUAAAUCUUAACAUUUAGAGGAAGGAGAAGUCGUAACA
rnacentral:rRNA from 1 species